GGGGCUAUCCGGUUUUGACAGCAGGUAGAAUGGGUGUGUAAGCACGCCGAGCACUGAUGGAGACGCUCGUAAAUACUGUCUAUCGAACUAUAACUGGCAACAACACUGUAGCUCUCGCUGCUUAAACCGAAGUAUAGUAGGUUUGCUUAUUCUCCGCACAAGGUGCAGAGACGAGACAUCGCUCCAAGCCGAGUCUGUAGGCUGAAUGGAUAAAGCGGUGCGGAAAUAUACAGAAUAGUUUGCCCGUGCUGCGACGGGUGCGCGAAAACGAAGCAGAUAAGCCCGCGGUUGGUGGCUCAGGUCUUGCCACGGGUCGAAAACGAAGGCUGAGAUAAGCGUGUAGAAAGCAUACGUGUUCCUUGUUUGGACGCGGGUUCGAAUCCCGCUAGCUCCACA
rnacentral:tmRNA from 1 species